rnacentral:rRNA from 1 species
GACGAACGCUGGCGGCGUGCCUAAUACAUGCAAGUCGAACGCAGUGGGGACGGGUGAGUAACACGUUGGUAACCUCCCAUCAGAGGGGAUAACACUUGGAAACAGGUGCUAAACCGAUACUGAUGGAUGGACCCGCGGUGCAUUAGCUAGUUGGUGAGGUAACGGCUCACCAGGGCCACGAUGCAUAGCGGACCUGGGAGGGGAAUCGGCCAAACGGGGACUGGGCAACGGCCCAGACCCCUACGGGAGGCAGCAGUGGGGAAUCUUCGGAAAUGGACGAAGGUCUGACCGAGCAACGCCGCGUGAGUGAAGAAGUUUUUCGGAUCGUAAGACUCUGUUGUUAGAGAAGCGGUAUCUAACCAGAAAGCCACGGCUAACUACGUGCCAGCCGCCGCGGUAAUUC